CUCCCAGUGUCUGUGUCUCCAUUUCUCCCAGUGUCCACAUGUCUCAGUGUGUCACUAGGAUACUACGGGACACUGGGAGACAUGGGGACACAGACACUGGGAG